rnacentral:rRNA from 1 species
AACGAACGCUGGCGGCGCGCCUAAUACAUGCAAGUCGAGCGAGAAGACGUAGCAAUACGUUUGUAAAGCGGCGAACGGGUGAGGAAUACAUGGGUAACCUACCCUCGAGUGGGGAAUAACUAGCCGAAAGGUUAGCUAAUACCGCGUACGCUCCUUGGACUUCGGUUCAGGGAGGAAAGCGAUACCGUGGGUAUCGCGCUCUUGGAUGGGCUCAUGUCCUAUCAGCUUGUUGGUGAGGUAACGGCUCACCAAGGCUUCGACGGGUAGCUGGUCUGAGAGGACGAUCAGCCACACUGGCACUGCGACACGGGCCAGACUCCUACGGGAGGCAGCAGUAAGGAAUAUUGCGCAAUGGGCGAAAGCCUGACGCAGCGACGCCGCGUGGGGGAUGAAGGUCUUC